GGGUUAGUAACUUAAUAGGUAAAGAACUUGCUUGUCGAGCGAGUAGAUGUCGGAUCGAAGCCGAUCUAACCCG
rfam:Aspergillus cristatus strain GZAAS20.1005 Scaffold_Scf_30, whole genome shotgun sequence.